AAAAAAUCGUAACAAGGUCUCCGUAGGUGAACCUGCGGAGGGAUCAUUACACAAAUAUGAAGGCGGGCUGGAACCUCUCGGGGUUACAGCCUUGCUGAAUUAUUCACCCUUGUCUUUUGCGUACUUCUUGUUUCCUUGGUGGGUUCGCCCACCACUAGGACAAACAUAAACCUUUUGUAAUUGCAAUCAGCGUCAGUAACAAAUUAAUAAUUACAACUUUCAACAACGGAUCUCUUGGUUCUGGCAUCGAUGAAGAACGCAGCGAAAUGCGAUAAGUAGUGUGAAUUGCAGAAUUCAGUGAAUCAUCGAAUCUUUGAACGCACAUUGCGCCCUUUGGUAUUCCAAAGGGCAUGCCUGUUCGAGCGUCAUUUGUACCCUCAAGCUUUGCUUGGUGUUGGGCGUCUUGUCUCUAGCUUUGCUGGAGACUCGCCUUAAAGUAAUUGGCAGCCGGCCUACUGGUUUCGGAGCGCAGCACAAGUCGCACUCUCUAUCAGCAAAGGUCUAGCAUCCAUUAAGCCUUUUUUCAACUUUGACCUCGAUCAGUAGAUCCCAAUCC
rnacentral:rRNA from 1 species